CGCCACUAUUCCAUACGUGCGCACACUUACAAUUUGAUUAGAAGAAAAUAACAUUACUGAUAUUUUACAUACAUAAUUUUGCUACUUUUGUGAAUUACGAUUCAGAAUUAGUUAAAAGUGGAGAAUCAUAAAGCAUUAUUAUUAUUAUUAUCUAAUACCAAGCACUUAAGAGUCUCCCAGCAUCAAGGCAAGCAUAACAUAUCUGCUUAGAGGUAAGCCAACGUUGAUCCCAAUCACUGACCGUCACGCUCUUCGGCUUCGCAAUCUCAAUUCCCGCAACUUCCUUCCCUAAAUAUCUCAGCCCUGCCUUCAGUAGCCUCUUCUCAUUCAGCUCCGCCGGCGCCCAUUCCCUUAGAUCAACCGUGUUCGACACUUGAAGUCCAUAAUCCUCCCACAACUUUUUCUCAU
rnacentral:lncRNA from 1 species